UAAAAUUGUGUGUGGAGGGUCUGCAGACCUCGUUGAUGAGAAAGAUCAGAGGAGAAUGACCAGAUUGGUCUGAGCUGACAGGAAGUCUAUAGUAACUCAAAUAAUCACUCUUCACAACCGUAGUGAGCAGAAAAGCAUUUAAGAAUACAUAACACAUCAAACCUUGAGGUGGAUGAGUUACAGCGGGAGAAGACCGCAUCGGGUUCCAUUGCGGUAAGCCAAAAACAGGAAUCUGAAGCUUUCACGGGCACAGACUCGCCCAAACCAGACAGUUUAAGAUUUUUUUUAAAGAUUUUUUUUUUCCUAACAGGAACAUAAAACAUCUGAAUGGGACGAAAAAGAGAAUCUGUAAGUUUUUGAAAUGAUAUUUGAGAGGAGGAAAGUACAGUUACUCAAAAUGUACAAAAGUAUUGAAUCACAGCCAUGCUAAGAAGAAAUGUGAAUAUCAUUCUGAAAUUGUCACUUUGGGUAUUACUUAAUGCCAGAUUAAAUAAUUUAAUUCCACCUGGUGCCCUGAGCCCUACAGUCUUAUUCCUGAAUUUGAUCAUGUUGACAUAGUUGAACCUCACCUAAGUUGAACAUGCAUAGAGGUAAAAAAUGCAUUCAUUUACCAAUCCAUACAGUUUGAUAUUAUCUACUUCUGGUUUAACAAGAGGCCAAAUCUAGUGACAAGGCCAGGCAGGGUCAAAAUACCGAAAAUAAGAAGUGCAAACAAAUCCAAAGGCUAAGCAAAUGUAUCAACACCCAAAAAACCAAAGUUCAAAUGCUGUCUGCAUGUGAAGACAUUCACAAUUCGGAGGAAGGUGCCCUCUGGCAAAUGUCUGGGUUUGAUGUUACAGCUGGUCCGUGCAGCCAUUUAUGAUUAUAUUGUUCUCCAGAACAAGAACAAUUUUAGAAUUGUAACCUGCAGAUGAACUGGUUAGAUUUUGGAAUUGAUCCAAAUGGGGUCAUAGUCAAAUGUCUGAAGUCUUUCUGCUUGAAGUAUAUUUUAAUGGUAUUUUGAGGCGUACAAAUUACUCCCAACAAGAACUAGAAUUGAUGGAAGAUGAAUCCCCGUCAAUGCCUUUGGCAUCAAGUUCAACUUAUGUUUUGCGGCUAGUAAUCCAUGGGUCCUAGAUGGAUUUUCGAAGACCCAAGAUAAUGACCUCAAACAUACAAUUAAACAAUUAAAUGGUUGCAAUCAGUGUUUUGUUAUGUCCAUCUGCAAUGGCAUGUGCUAUUUAUUUUGCAUAUAUUCAUUAGUGCUCAUUAAUGUUAAGACCCAUAAAUAUAUUCUAUACCUUUAUGGACUGCGCUAGUGUUCAAUUGCCUCUGUUGUUUAGGACAAGGGACAAUCUGAGGAAGGAUUUUGUCUCUUACAAGCUGUUGUUGAAGUCUCUACCCCGGGUGAAGGCUUUACUCUUGGGCCCAGUGGGUUUUGGGAAGUCCAGCUUCAUCAACUCUCUCAGAUCCACAAUGUACAAGCGCAUCGUACAUCUGCCCAACAUCGGCACAGCAGUGGAUGGGUUCACCCAGAAGAUGACAACUUACAGUAUUCGAGUAAAUCAAGGAGGGUUUGAAAGUGCUCUGAGCCUUUGUGACGUGAAGGCUAUAGGAGACGACGACUCUACUGGUCUCUCUUACUCUGAUGUCAUAAAAGGCCACAUUCCAGAAGGAUACAAGAUACCACUGAUAUCCCUCAAACCUGAACAGAGAAAAAGCACCUACAGAUUAAUAUCAUCAGCAUUUCCGGUGCCUCUGAG